GCUGUGAGGAAGAGAAUUGUGAAGAUCAAAUUUAAAUAAAAAGCUUGCAAAGAGCGCUAGCAAGAUGCAGAAGACACGUUCGACCCCCCUUAAGUGGUGGAAUUGGCUAAUAUCGGAUAAAUGCGAUCAAUGUAUCACUUAGUUUCCAAAGAUCGGGCGAUAGCAAAGUGGAUGUGUGAAAGACAUUUUGAUUUUCUAAAAAAUCCCCCCGUUAUGCUCUUAAUAUUCGGGCAAAAUCUUAUCAACAACGGACUUCCAUAUCAUUGAGUUUCAAUAGGAAGAAUUGGUCAGUUUGCAAUGAUAACCUUUGGCACCGCGAACAUAAUUGUACUCAUUUGUUAAGACUUAGCAACGUACAUGGGCCUGCCACCGGAAAGUUUGGUAACCAAAUCGAGGAAGAAACCUGGUAUGAAAUGGAAUAGUAUAGCACCAAGACGAAACAGCAUCAAACUCCUAACCAAGCGCAGAUUGGGAUACCAGACGGCGCUGUUGAGUGGAUAAUCAUGCAAAUAACCAUUAAUUUUGUCCUUCAAAAACUCGAAACGGAAUGGCUUGUAUGUGCUUGAUGUCAGAUGGAAAAUCUGCAGCUCUGCGGGACGAUCCCCAUUCUUCACUCUGCAAUGAGAUGGAAAUGUUAGCUUGCAGAAUAAGCCCAUGCAAUAAUACCUACUUAAGCGAAUUGACGUAGUAGCCCGUGGUUAUAAUGCCAUUUACCACCACAUCGAUGGGAAUGUAGUCCAUAAUAAUAGUGGGAUCGAGUGGUAAACGACGCAAAAUGCCCUUGGAUGCGCCCAUGAAGAAACCCUGUGGUCCAUUCUUGGAUAUGGUCCAGCCAGGUAUUGGCUCCUUCCAAGCGGCUGUGACUGCAAUGAAUCGAAGGCUCUAUGAUAUCAAUAGCUUUGUGGUAAAUGGUAAAACUUACUCAUGCUGGGACGCACAAUGCCGCAGGGGAAUUGUGAGGCCACAUUGGCCACUUCAUGCUCUGCCAAAUGUUUUGUGAACGUGUAAGUGUUAGGAUGAUCCUUGAGCAAUCUGUAAAACGUAUUUAAAAUGUAUAACCUUCAGUAAUUUUAAAUACAUCAGCAACUUACUUAGGCUCCAACGCUUUAAGCGCCUCAUCGUUGAGCGUUUCCGCCAGCUGUAUAAUCUUUUCUGGAUCAUCGGGCGAGGGAUAUAGCUUCUCUUCCACCUCCGUAAUGUAUGCAUUUACAUAUGCGCUGGAAACAUGUACCAGGGCGUCCAAGUGGCGUAGCUGCUUGCAUAGUUCCACAACGCGACGUGUGCCACGCAAGUUAAUGUUCGUUGUCUCUUUCAGGGAUUGAAAAAAGUCAAGGGUGGCAGCUGAGUGGAACACCACGUUCACGUUUUCGAUAAGCGUUUCGCGAUCCUUUGCUGAAAUGCCCAAGUGCUCCAAGCCGACAUCGCCCUCAAUGGGCACAAUCUUGGAUAGGCGCGCUUCCAGCUGCAGCUCCUUGAAGCGAUCAAACACUGAGUUCUUCUUCAGCUCCUCCAGACGCUCCUGCACACUCUUGCCCUUCUUGGCGCGCAUCAGCAGGUACAGAGUGCCCACAUUGGGCACAUCUCGCAGCAGCUUCUCAACUAUGGUGACGCCCACAAAGCCAGUGGCGCCCGUAAUAAAAACAUUGCGACCCGCAUAGAAAUCUGCGAUGGGCGAGCUGCAUGGAUUCUCUUGCAUAAGAGGAAAACUUUCCCCACGUUCAAUCGUUGCUUUGAUUAUGACAACAAAAUGCGCCUGCGCAGCAGCAAAUUCGAGUUAGGAGCGUACAACAAGUUCGUCGCAUUUCUCCCAACGUAGUGCUCCAACGUCCAAAGCUCAAAACAAGUUUUUUUUUUAUAUGGUAAUAGCUAUGGGAUAUCAUAUAUGUGAGUUCUAGCUGCUAUCGGCUCCAGUGUUUAUCCAACUAACGACUACUCCUAGGCGGCCUUUUAACGAGCUGUGGGCGUGUUGAUUUUAGCGUACAGAAAUAGCGAAAAAAUCAAUGGCAAAAGUAUUAUGAUAUAAGUGGGAUCAUAGAAGUUCAAACACUUGAAACGAUGUGAAAAUUUGAAGUACUAAUAGGGGAAAAAAAUGCCAUUAAGCAGCCUAAGAUAAAACUAAGCUGUAAUAGCUAAGCUGCUAUAGAACCAGAAAAAAAGGUAGAUUGGGGUUGCAAAAAAAGGCAAACAUGUACCUAUAUUCUAUAGCUUGUAUCUGGGCUUUUAAUAUUGUCCAGCAUUGACCGGAAGUCAACAAAUCAGACUUUGAAUCAAUGCUGAAUAUUAUCUUUAUAUCUUGUACACCACUUGUGACUAGAUAAUAAUUUCUACUCUUUUUUUUUUUUACCAAAAUCGUGUUUUUCGAGUUAGGUUCAAUGUGGGAUCGUAGUCUCCUGCGUUUCCUAUGCAUUAAAUAUAUCGUGACAAUAUUAUAAUAACCUCUGCAAGCUCUGGUAUAAUAACUAGACAAAUUCACACAAAUGAACAUCAAAGUUGCAUAUGUUAGUAGUAAGUAGGUCAUUUAGGUUGUAAGAUGCUCUGGAUAAGACCCAAGACUUGUGUUUUUUUUUUUUUCAAAACACGCAACAGCAAUUUUAAUUAGCUAAUUUCGAACAUCGCUUUGUUUUUGGCCCUAAUGAUGCUCUAGUCGUUGUUUCUCCAACAUGUCUCCGGCUUGUCUACGCUGCGGCUGGACGUGGCAAAUGAUUUUAUAAUGAACAAAGCAAAUGAUUCGUGCGUAAUUUGCUUUUUGUUUGUUUGCUUUUUUUUCUUUCUCUAUUUAUUGUCUAUUGGCCCGCAAAUGGCAAUUGGCUGUUGUGGAUGUGUGCAAUCUUUAGCUUUAAUGGGCACUUGGUCAAUUUGCAUACUCUGUGCAAUUUUGAGGCCCUUCAGUUCAAAGCUCGGCCAGUUGCAGCUGCAGCUGCUGCCACACAAUGCAAGCUGCUGCGUCACGGCAUAAAUUUUGAUGUCCACUUCAGAUUCGGCUGAAACGCUUCGACUAGCUUGUCAACCAAAUGUAGCUUUCACUUUGCGCCACACUCAAGCGACCGCCUGGCAGCUGAACCAAAACUUAAUUUGGCACUCACCUGUGCUUCUAACGUGGCAACAACUUAGCAUAAAUUAAAAUUGUUGUUGCGGUUUUGGCUUGGCAAAUUUGCAAAUUUAAUUUUUCGUUUUUUGCCACGCAAGCCCUUAGCCAAUUUACUACUAGCUCUUGAGUUUUGUUAACUAUUUAUUCAAUUUUUAUUUAUUUAUUUUUUUUUAACGCUACAGUAAAUUGUGUUUUUAUCUUGAGUGGCGCAGUGCAGUGAUUAGAUUUUGGCUGAGGCUUUCAAGCUUGGCCAAGUGGAACACUUAUCUAUAGCAAUUAAUUGUGGGCGCUAUAAAUGGAACAAGUGCCCAGGCUGCCACUAGAAGUUUGAUUUAUGCAAACAGGUCAGUUAUGUGGCAUAGUUCCAUAAGACCAUUUAUAUAGUUUACAAAUCGGCAGCUUAAAAAUCGUAACUCUACGCCACCAAGUCAUGCCGGGUUCGUACAUCAACAGGAGCCGCUAUUAACUGAACAACCGUCUGGACAGAACCGACCUUGUUGCCGGCCAUAGAGACGGUCAUUAAUUGCUAUUUGUGGGCAUAAUUGCUGGUAAUGGAGCUUGUUUUGACUGGGCAUCCAUUGGGAUUGGGCACCAUUGGGUUUGGCGUGUUUUGUAUUUUUCCACUAGAGUUCCUGCUUCAUAUAUCAACAACGCCUCCAAGCAGCUUGAGGGUCUAUCGAGAUAGAGAUAUAGAGAGUGGAGAGAGAGAGAGAGAGAGAGAGAGAUAGAGAGAGAGAGAUGCUGGCAGAGCAACCAGUUCUCGCCAUUCAGAGUGCAGCAGAUGAUAUAUGUACAUAAUAUCAAGAGCUUGCGCUUUAGGUGUUGCGCAGGUCAAAGUUUAAGAGGCGUAUGGAAUGCGAGAAAAAUUAACUUUCAAUUUGUUCAACAAAUUCACGCUUCAGCUAAGUGCAUGUUAACAAUUUGAGAAAGCAUAUUGGUGUUUUAAAAUAUUUUGGGCAUUACACUUAAAGUCAAAAUGGGAUAUUAUUAAUAUUAGUUAUGAAACUGUUCUAGACUACAAAUAAAAUGAUGAUUGAAGAAAAA